rnacentral:rRNA from 1 species
AUUGAACGCUGGCGGCAGGCCUAACACAUGCAAGUCGAGCGGAGCGGCGGACGGGUGAGUAAUGCCUAGGAAUCUGCCUGGUAGUGGGGGAUAACGUCCGGAAACGGGCGCUAAUACCGCAUACUAUCAGAUGAGCCUAGGUCGGAUUAGCUAGUUGGUGGGGUAAAGGCCUACCCAGGCAACGAUCCGUAACUGGUUGGAGAGGAUGAUAAGUAAAACUGGAACUGAGAAACGGUGCAGAGUCCGACGGGAGGCAGCAGUGGGGAAUAUUGGACAAUGGGCGAAAGCCUGAUCCAGCCAUGCCGCGUGGAUGAAGAAGGUCGUCGGGUUGGAAAGCACUUUUGGUAGUGAGGCGUUAUCGUCAGAAUAAGCACCGGCUAACUUCGUGCCAGCAGCCGCGGUAAUAC